ACUAAGUCAGGUGAGAUGCUUGUAUCUUGUGUAAACGGAGGCAAAAGUUCACAGGACUGUGAAGUUAUUCAAACCACUAUGAAAGUACUGUUUUUUUCAAUCAGAUACUUCGAAAGCGCAAUCCACACAGCUAACAUAGCUGAUGGAUAACAUACAGGAGAUUCAUUUUAACAGCAAGAGCAUGAAACAUUCACCAGAAGCUCAGUAUAUCCAUUUGGAAGAUUGAGGAGGCAAUUCUGCACAAUCUGAAACUGAAGAUAUUCGGGCUUGCUGCAAUCAAAAAUAUCAUUAUGUUUAUCACCAACUCUCCUAACUAACAAUUAAAAACAAACAAACAAAAA